CGUCGUAGUAGUCGUAGUAGUCGUCGUAGUAGUCAUCGUCGUAGUUGCCGUAGUCGCCGUAGUCGCCGUAGUCGUCGUAGUCGUAGUAGUCGUAGUACUCGUAGUAGCCAUAGUACUCGUAGUCGUCGUCAUAGUCGUCGUAAUCAUCGUCGUCGUAGUCGUCGUAGUAGUCGUCGUCGUAGUCGUCUUCGUAGUAGUCGUAGUCGUAGUAGUUGUCGUCGUCGUACUCGUAGUCGUCGUACUCGUAGUCGUAGUCGUAGUCAUAGUCGUACUCGUAGUCGUAGUCGUAGUCGUAGUCGUCGUUGUAGUCGUCGUCGUAGUCAUAGUCGUAGUUGUAGUUGUAGUCGUCGUCGUUGUAGUCGUAGUCGUAGUCGUCGUCAUCGUAAUCGUCGUCGUCGUAGUCAUAGUCGUAGUCGUAGUCCUAGUCCUAGUCGUAGUCAUAGUCGUAGGAGUCGUAGUGGUAGCAGUAGCAGUAGCAGUAGCAGUAG
rnacentral:lncRNA from 1 species